rnacentral:rRNA from 1 species
UUACAUCAGCAGUCAUCUCCGUGAUAGAGUGUGGCUAUGGCCUCACGCCGGCUCUCAGCCCAGGCAAAGGGGCUCGCUUGGACAUCCUCCAAAACCUAGUGGCUAAUACACGGUCGAACAGCGUCUGCCACGUCCGUGGCGCCUCGUCGUGGCAUCCCCACGCGAGGCCCCGGUGGUGGAUCGCGCCCAGCCGCUGAGAAGACCAGCGCCUGGAAAUGGCAGUGUGUGGAAGCUGACUCAGGCUGGUCCUCCGGGACCGCCGCGCUGGCAGAGUGGUGGCCUCCUCGGUCACAGCAUUGCUUGAUCACACGAACUUCUGACCUAUCAGCCUCGACUGUGGUGUCGUGGACCACAGUGGCAGUGACGGGUGACGGAGAAUCAGGGUUCGAUUCCGGAGAGGGAGCCUGAGAUACGGCUACCACUACCAAGGUGGGCAGCAGGCACGCAAAUUGCCCAAUGCGAAGACCUCCCCGCGAGGCAGCGACGAACUGCAGCAAUCCCGGUUGCCUUCACGGCGAUUGGGACUUGGAAUGGAUGCUAUCCAAACACAGUGAUGAGUAUCAACUGGAGGGCAAGUCUGGUGCCAGCAGCUGCGGUAAUUCCAGCUCCAAGCGUGUAUACUAACAUUGCUGCUGUUAAAACACUUGUAGUCUGAUGCUGGGCUCAGGUCUGCCAGGCGGCCGAUGUUGGGGUGCGUUCAUGCCCGGGACUCCGGUCUCGUGGUGGGUUCGAGCUCCUCUCGGAACCAAACCCCUGGUAGAAUGCUCCUGUGCCCGUGUCAACGAUGGUGCGAUCUGCUCCUGCUCCAAGUCUCCUUCAGUGGGGAUCGAUGCGGGCUCAUGCCCAACGCUCGUGUGCUGACAAUCGGGGACGUCGCUCCGCGCGGCGCUCUUCCCCUGUCCACCACCGGAGUCCACCAUCUGAGACACCGUGGAAAACUCAGUGUGCUCCAAGCGUCCACUCGGCUGGAUGCCCGUCCAUGGAAUGUCAAAGCAUCGACCUGAUGUGGCUGUGAAGUUGUGCUGGCCUUGGUGCCCAAUCAGGGGAACCUGGUUGCGCCUCCCCUGGCGUGUCUCUGGGCGACCUCCCGGCGAGGAAACCCAGCCGCCAGCGGGCUCGGCGUCGCCAUGCGACCUCGAUGGGACAGCUCUGGGUGAAGGAUACCACGGCGCCAGAGGUGAAAUUCUUAGACCGCUGUGAGAUCAACGGCAGCGAAGGCGCUCUGCAAGUGCUUGUUCGUCGAUCAAGAAUGAGAGUGUGGGGAGCGAAGAUGAUCAGACACCGUCGUAGUCCACAACUGUGAACGAUGCCGGCCCGGUGCUGGAGGUGAAAUGUCUCCGAGACUCCUCCAGCGCCACUCCCCCUACAACGAGAAAUCCGAGCCUUCGGGUUCAGGGGGGAGUACGGUCGCAAGGCUGAAACUUAAAGGAAUUGACGGAAUGGCACCACCAGGCGUGGAGUAUGCGGCUUAAUUUGACUCAACACGGGGAAUGUUACCAGGUCAGGACGAUGUCCGGAUGGACAGAUUGAGAGCUCUUUCCUGAUCCCUCGGAUGGUGGUGCAUGGCCGCUCCUGAUUGGUGGAGUGAUUUGUCUGGUUGAUUCCGAUAACGAGUGAGAUCUCUGCCUCCCAGUAGCCUCAGCCUCGCUUGUAGGGCGGACUCGGCUCGGGUCUUCGGAUCCUGCCGCAGUUGCCCGAGAGGACUGGGCCAAGCUUCUCUGAGGUGCUGUGCGCGCUACCAAGCGCAUGCAUGCUAGAGCCAACAGCAGGUCUGUGAUGCUCCCAGAUGUCCUGGGCCGCACGCGCACUACAUUGGCCUGGCGAGAAGGUCGCCUCCCCCCGCUCUCGCGGGUCCUGCCCCGAAGAGGAUGGGAAAUCCUCCGAGCCCAGCCCGUACUGGGGAUAGAUGCUUGCAACUGUCUGCCUUGAACGAGGAAUGCCUAGUAUGCGUGGGUCAUCAGCCCACACCGAUUGCGUCCCUGCCACUUGUAC